rnacentral:lncRNA from 1 species
GCGCUGGCCGGGCGUGGCACCGGGGGUCUGCUGCAGCACCAGGGUGAUGCGCUUGGACUCGCCCUAGGACAGAUGGACAGAUGGACACUGGUCAGUCAAUGGUCAGUGUGAACAGUCACUAUGAGUGGUCAGUGUCAGGGGUCAAUGGUCAGUGUGGAUGGUCAGUAGUCAGUGGCCACUCAGGGGUCAGUGUGAAUGAUCACUAUGAGUAGUCAGUGUGGAUGGUCAGUGGUCAGUGUCAACAGCCAGUGGUAACUCAGUGGUCAAUGGUCAGUGUGAACGGUCACUAUGAGUGGUCAGUGUCAGUGGUCACUCAGUGGUCAGUGUGAGUGGUCACUAUGAGUGGUCAGUGUCAGUGGUCAGUGGGGAUGGACAUUGGGGUGGAGCUNAAAGUGACCACUCCCACAUUUAACUGACCACCACCCCUGGGUCUGAGUGACCAACCCCAGCCCAACUGACCACUCCAACCCCAAAGUGACCACUCCCAAAUUUAACUGACCACCACCCCUGUGUCUCAGUGACCCUCCCCAGCCCAACUGACCGCUCCCAAAUUUAACUGACCACUCCCAAAUUUACUGACCACUCCCAAACCCAACUGACCGCUCCCAAAUUGAACUGACCACCACCCCUGGGUGUGAGUGACCCUCCCCAGCCCAAAUGACCACUCCCACAUUUAACUGACCACUCCCAAAUUUAACUGACCACUCCCAAAUUUAACUGACCAUCACCCCUGGGUUUGAGUGACCAUCCCCAACCCAACUGACCACUCCCAAAUUUAACUGACCACUCCCAAAUUCAAAUUUAACUGACCACUCCAACCCCAAACUGACCACUCCCACCCCAAAGUGACCACUCCCACCCCAAAGUGACCACUCCCACAUUUAACUGACCACCACCCCUGGGUCUGAGUGACCCUCCCCAGCCCAACUGACCACUCCAACCCCAAAGUGACCACUCCCAAAUUUAACUGACCACUCCCAAAUUUAACUGACCACUCCCAAAUUUAACUGACCACCACCCCUGUGUCUGAGUGACCCUCCCCAGUCCAAAUGACCACUCCAACCCCAAAGUGACCACUCCCAAAUUUAACUGACCACCACCCCCGGGUCUGAAUGACCCUCCCCAGCCCAACUGACCACUCCCAAAUUUAACUGACCAUCACCCCUGUGUCUGAGUGACCCUCCCCAGCCCAAAUGACCACUCCAACCCCAAAGUGACCACUCCCAAAUUGAACUGACCACCACCCCUGGGUGUGAGUGACCCUCCCCAGCCCAACUGACCACUCCCAAACCCAACUGACCACUCCCAAAUUUAAGCGACCACUCCCAAACCCAACUGACCACUCCCAAACUUAACUGACCACCACCCCUGUGUCUGAGUGACCCUCCCCAGCCCAACUGACCACUCCCACCCCACACUGACCACUCCCAAAUUUAACUGACCGUUCCCAAAUGUAACUGACCAUCACCCCUAGGUCUGAGUGACCCUCCCCAGCCCAAAUGACCACUCCCAAAUUUAACUGACCACUCCCAAAUUGAACUGACCAUCACCCCUGGGUGUGAGUGACCCUCCCCAGCCCGAGUGACCGCUCCCAAAUUUAACUGACCACUCCCAAAUUGAACUGACCACCACCCCUGGGUGUGAGUGACCCUCCCCAGCCCGAGUGACCGCUCCCAAAUUUAACUGACCACUCCCNAAAAUCCCACAAAAAAUGGCCCUAAAAUGGCCCUAAAAUGGCCCUGAGUGGCCACUCAGUGACCACUGACCACUGAGUGACCAAAACCACAAAAAUCCCCAAAAAAAUCCCCCAAAAAAUCCCUAAAAUGACUCUGAGUGACCACUGAGUAACCACACUGACCAUCAACUAACCAGUGAGCACAAUGACCACUGACUGACCACUGAGUGACCAAAAACCCAAAAAUCCUUAAGAAAAUCCACCAAAAAAUGGCCCUAAAAUGGCCCUAAAAUGACCCUGAGUGGCCACUGAGUGACCACUGACCACUGAGUGACCAAAAAUACAAAAAUCCCCAAAAAAAUCCCCCCAAAAAUGGCCCUAAAAUGACCCUGAGUGACCACUGAGUGACCACCCUGACCCCACCAAACUUUGAUGACCACCAAGACCAAGACUGACCACAAUAAACCCCAUACUUUGAUGACCA